rnacentral:rRNA from 1 species
UACGUAGGGUGCAAGCGUUGUCCGGAAUUAUUGGGCGUAAAGAGCUCGUAGGCGGUCUGUCGCGUCGGCUGUGAAAACCUGGGGCUUAACUCCGGGCUUGCAGCCGAUACGGGCAGACUAGAGUUCGGCAGGGGAGACUGGAAUUCCUGGUGUAGCGGUGAAAUGCGCAGAUAUCAGGAGGAACACCGGUGGCGAAGGCGGGUCUCUGGGCCGAAACUGACGCUGAGGAGCGAAAGCGUGGGGAGCAAACAGGA